rnacentral:rRNA from 1 species
GACGGAGGAUGCAAGCGUUAUCCGAAAUUAUUGGGCGUAAAGCGUCCGCAGGUGGACAUACAAGUCUGCUGUCAAAGUGCAGAGCUUAACUCUGUAAAGGCGGUGGAAACUGUAGGUCUUGAGUAUGGUAGGGGUAGAGGGAAUUCCCGGUGUAGCGGUGAAAUGCGUAGAUAUCGGGAAGAACACCAGUGGCGAAAGCGCUCUACUGGGCCAUAACUGACACUGAGGGACGAAAGCUAGGGGAGCGAAAGGG